UGGACAUACGGUUAAUAUUCCGUAACUUCUUAAAAGUGCGAUGGGAGGACGGAGUGUAGUAGAGAUAGCAGAUUAUUGGAUUUCUGUUGAUUGCAUAAGUGUUCUGUCUAGGUAAAUCCGGACAGUAUAAGCGCAAGUGUCGUCAAAAUGUCUAAGUACGCUUAGGCAAAUUAUCUUGAGCACGCUUCCGAGAAAAGUCUCUAAGCAUAACUUUUAAGAAUCCGUACCGCAAACCGACACAGGUGGUUGGGUCGAGAAGACCAAGGCGAACGAGUGAGAGAUCCCCAAGGAACUCGGCAAAAUAGCAGCCGUAACUUUGGAAUAAGGCUUGCCCUUCACUACUUUGGAUAUUUCCAAAAAAGUGAAAGAGUUAAGUAAAGAAAAUAAAUAAGUAUAAACAACAAAAGAUAUACGAGAUAAUCGAGACAUAAAAUUAUAACUCUUUGUUAUUUUUUACACGGAAGUGUUUAAAGUAGUGGAGGGCCGCAGCGAAAGACUCCCUGGCAACUGUUUAUCAAAAA
rnacentral:rRNA from 1 species